CACUGGGCCAGAAGGGGUUAAUGGGCUCAUUCAGCCUUGUCCUACUACACCUGCAGUAGGCAUUAAGCCUGAAUAGAGGCCCUGCAAGGGCUGAAGCUAGCUCAGGCUGGGGCUGACCAGGAAGGAGAAGUGAUGGCUAGUUGGCCCUCAGUGAGAGGAGUCUGGCUGGCGCCACUGUCUGGAGCUGGUCCACUGGUAGACAGCAUCCCUGGUGGAAGAGAUACCAAGGGUUGCUGCCCCAGAGAAUGAGAUUUAUGGCCCCAAAGAGAGAUGCAAGACCAAAGUGUGAGACUUUUCAGAUGUGCUGAGAACCUGCAGCUUCUGUUGCUCCAACUGGAGUUGUUAGCGAUCAGGAGCACCUACAGACCCAAGCAAUUUCAAUUGGAUAGUGAAUUCUUCACUUCCUGUCAAAGCUUUGGGCAGCAGUUCUGUGCCGUGUCUGUCAAGCUGAUGCAUUCCACCCAGAGCUAAAGGGGAAACAAAUGCCAGCAGUCCCAUGCUCAUGAGCAACCCUAUAAUAAACUGAGUGCGUAGCCCGUCAUUCAUGAAAAGUCCCACAGGGAGUGCAACUUAGCAAGUGUGAAAGCCCUGCAUGAAAUCAGCAUAGUCAUAAUGGAAGAAAAGAAAAAAAUCCAUGAGAAAACAGAUGGUAAACCUUUGCUUCUAAUGAACGAUUACAAAUAAGCAGUGGAAGAAAAAUUACUUGGAAAACACGAGGCUAAAUUGUAUGCUGCCAUAAUGCCACUGAAGAUGGAACUACCCUGCCAGAGAAGGCAGCCUACUUGGUAAGUUUCAGGUGAAGGAUUUAUUUUCCAGCUGACCAUUCUCUUGCUCACUUCCCCUUUCACUGAUCAGUGAUUCCCCCAGUGAUACAGAGAGUACAGAGAAGCAGCAAUUCACAGAAGUGAUACUUUGCAGAGUACUAUUAAAUGACUGCAUUUUGCAAAUGACAGUGACAUUUCACAAACUGUCCCUGCCAGAAAAAAAAAUCUAUAUGUUAGAUGCGCCACAAGAC